AAUGAACGUUGGCGGCGUGGAUUAGGCAUGCAAGUCGCGCGACAAGGAACCUUCGGGUUCUGGAGGAGCGGCAAACGGGGUAGUAAGGCAUCGGAACGUACCCUCUUGUUGGGAAUAGCCGCGGGAAACUGCGAGUAAUGCCCAAUAAUCCCUACGGGGCAAAGGUCCGCCGCAGGAGGAGCGGCCGAUGUGAUACCAGCUAGUUGGUGAGGUAAUGGCUCACCAAGGCUUAGACGUCUAGGGGGUGUGAGAGCAUGGCCCCCACCACUGGGACUGAGAUACUGCCCAGACUCCUACGGGAGGCAGCAGUGGGGGAAUUUUUGGACAAUGGGCGCAAGCCUGAUCCAGCCAUGCCGCGUGAGUGAAGAAGGCCUCGGUUGGUAAG
rnacentral:rRNA from 1 species